rnacentral:sRNA from 1 species
CUUUUUUCUUCUCUCUCUAAAAACUCAUCUUCUAAAUAUUGUUCUGCCUUCUCUCUAAAAUACCACCCUGUUGAACCGUUCAAUUUUUGAAUAGGUGGUGCUCAAACCUUCACCGCGUCAAGGGCUGCGUAACGGACCGAACGGGUUCUUGUUCCAACCGGGUGUCUUUGAAUUUUGCUGUGAGGAGCACUAUUUAGAUCAUCUCUGUCAAGUAAACUGUGAAGUUUUCCAGAUGUUGUUGAGGAGGUUCCAUUGGACCAAGAGUUGGAGGAUGCUGAUGAUGCAGUAUAAUAUUUUUAGGAUUUCUAAAUUUAAGUUGGUGUUAUUUUGAAGUACUCUAAACUGUUUAAAUUUUAAGUUUUGUCCUUUUGUGAUGAUUGUAAUAUCAGCUACUGAACUACUAUUCUACCCUAAUUGUUCUCUUUAUUAGAACGUGGACACCUAAGUUAUAUGAUUGUGG